AGCCUGAACGCUGGCGGCGUGGCUAAGACAUGCAAGUCGUACGGGUGUAGCAAUACACCAGUGGCGGACGGGUGAGUAAAGUAUCGCUAACGUACCCCCAAGUCCGGGAUAGCCGAGGGAAACUUCGGGUAAUACCGGGUGACAUCGCCGGGAGGCAUCUUCUGGCGCUCAAAGGGGCAACCGCUUAGGGAGCGGGCGAUAUCGUAUCAGCUAGUUGGUGAGGUAACGGCUCACCAAGGCGACGACGCGUAGCCGGACUGAGAGGUUGGCCGGCCACAUUGGGACUGAGACACUGCCCAGACUCCUACGGGGGGCUGCAGUAACGAAUCUUCCGCAAUGCACGCAAGUGUGACGGAGCGACGCCGCGUGGAGGACCAAGUUCUUCGGAAUGUAAACUCCUGUCAGGGGCUAGAAAGUUCUGAUCAACCCCAGAGGAAGGCACGGCUAACUCUGCGCCAGCAGCCGC
rnacentral:rRNA from 1 species